rnacentral:rRNA from 1 species
CACGUAGGCACCAAGCGUUGUCCGGAUUUAUUGGGCGUAAAGAGCUCGUAGGCGGUUCAGUAAGUCGGGUGUGAAAACUUUGGGCUUAACCCAAAGCGUGCAUCCGAUACUGCUGUGACUUGAGUACGGUAGGGGAGCGGGGAAUUCCUAGUGUAGCGGUGAAAUGCGCAGAUAUUAGGAGGAACACCGGUGGCGAAGGCGCCGCUCUGGGCCGAAACUGACGCUGAGGCGCGAAAGCUAGGGGAGCGAACGGG